CGAGAGGACCGGAGUGGACGCAUCACUGGUGUUCGGGUUGUCAUGCCAAUGGCACUGCCCGGUAGCUAAAUGCGGAAGAGAUAAGUGCUGAAAGCAUCUAAGCACGAAACUUGCCCCGAGAUGAGUUCUCCCUGAGACUAUAAGUCUCCUGAAGGAACGUUGAAGACGACGACGUUGAUAGGUCGGGUGUGUAAGCGCAGCGAUGCGUUGAGCUAACCGAUACUAAUGAACCGUGAGGCUUAACCUU
rnacentral:rRNA from 1 species